AUUGAACGCUAGCGGCAGGCCUAACACAUGCAAGUCGAACGAGUGGCGGACGGGUGAGUAAUGUCUGGGAAACUGCCAGAUGGAGGGGGCUAACUAAUGGAAACGGUAGCUAAUACCGCAUAACAUAGGAUGUGCCCAGAUGGGAUUAGCUAGUAGGUGGGGUAAAGGCCCACCUGGGCGACGAUCCCUAGCUGGUCUGAGAGGAGGACCAGCCAUACUGGAACUGAGACACGGGCCAGACUCUCACGGGAGGCAGCAGUGGGGAAUAUUGCACAAUUGGCGCAAGCCUGAUGCAGCCAUGCCGCGUGUAUGAAGAAGGCCUUCGGGUUGUAAAGUACUUUCAGCGAGGAGGCGUUACCCGCAGAAGAAGCACCGGCUAACUCCGUGCCAGCAGCCGCGGUAAUUC
rnacentral:rRNA from 1 species